AACCCGGCUCCGUGAAGCUGGAUUCGCUAGUAAUCGCGCAUCAGCCAUGGCGCGGUGAAUACGUUCCCGGGCCUUGUACACACCGCCCGUCAAGCCAUGGGAGCCGGGGGCGCCUGAAGUGCGGUACCGCGAGGGCCGCCCAAGGGCGAGACCGGUGACUGGGGCUAAGUCGUAACAAGGUACC
rnacentral:rRNA from 1 species